rnacentral:lncRNA from 1 species
UCGUAAACACCACGUAAGACAACGAGGAAAUAACGACGAAAUAUAAAAAUAAAGAUGGGGUUUGGAAUAUAUGAAGUAGAAAAAUAAGGAAUAUGGGGUUUGGGGUUUCGGAUUUUAGGGAUUUAAACAUAACACUCGUUAAUUCCACGUAAGUAGAAAUCGUCUUAAAUACCACGUAACAGGAAUCGUCGUAAACACCACGUAGGACGAAAUCGUCGUAAAUACCUCGUAGUGUAAAAACUAGAAAAAAAAGAAAAAGGAGAAAGAUACCAGAUUCACAUGUGGCAAGACUUCCAGCAAUUAUAAUACGUAAGUCUCGCCCACAUGAAUUCUAAUAUCUUCUUCUUUUCCUUUUUUUUCAAAUAUUUAUAAUUUGAAUAGGAUUUUGCUGAGGAGUGUGAUUUGAGAUAGAGUGUGAUUUGGGAGUUUGUGUGUGGUUUGAGAAUGAGAGUUGUGGGUAUAUUUAUAGGAAAGCGCGGCUCGUCAAUUCCACGUAAGCAAAAUCGUCGUUAAUACCUCGUAUAUAAAAACACGGGUCUUU